rnacentral:misc_RNA from 1 species
ACUUGAGACUAGUAUCUGAGUCAUUGACUAAGCUGCGAUUGUUCGUGAUGGAGUCUGCUGAAUGUCCUUGCUCAAUUACAUUUUGCCCUUCUUCAUUCAAUCUUGCUUGUGAUUGCUUUUUCAACUGUGAAUUCUCUUCCUGGAGUUUAGCUUCCUUUUUCUUGAGGGAACUGAUCUCUUUCAUAAACUUGUCACCCUUAAUUUUGAGGACACG